rnacentral:lncRNA from 1 species
UUUUACAUUCAUAUCCAAAUUUUUAUGUACCAAUAUUUUAUCAAAUAUCAAAUAAUAUCUAAGAUUUAGUAAACAUAAAAUAUAAUUUUAAUACAAAACUCAUAAUAAAUAAAAUAAACAAAAAAAUAUAAUAAAUCAUCUUAUCCCCCACAAAAUAUAUUAACGUCUUCUUUUAUCUCCUUAGAAAAAAAAAUCGAUCCUAAAUUUAUAUUUUAAAUUCAAACAUAUAAUUAUAAUUCAAUCUAAGUUAAAAUUAAAUAUAUAUCUAAAUUUAUAUAGUUAUUAUUUUGAAUUUAAUAACUAUUAUUAAAUUGAAUUCUACAGCUCUCACAUAUGAGAAAGCUCUGUACCUUCUAAGUAACACCUACCUCUUUUCUAUUUUUCUAAAACAUAUAAAUUAAUAAUUAAUAAUAAUAAUAUAUAAUAAUUUUCGAAUAUCCGAAACCGAAUUCGAAAUAUUCUAAUAUAUUCGUAUCCGUAUCCAAGUUCGAAAAUAUUGUAAAUAAAAAUAUAAUAUCCGAAUCCGAAUCCGAAUUGGACCGGAUGUAUAAUUUUGACAUCCAUAUAUAUUUGCAUCCAAUCGAUGAAUUCGAUCUGAAUUUAUUCUAACCACUUUCAACCCUACCUAUACUUCAUAAUCAUAUAUACUAAAAUCAAAAGAUCUCCAUAUUAAAAUAUAAGAAAAAAAAUGUACAUAAAACUAUGAACCAUUUUGAGUCAAACCUUUGAAAAUUUCGAUUUUACUAUUAGGUCUUUCAAUCUAUUUGAUUUGAAUUAGUCAAUAAUAUUUUGAUUUUAAAAUUUGAAUGUGUCGUUUAUCUCUUUAUAUUUAAUUAGUAUAUUUUAUACAACUCUCGUAAUUAUAAAUUUAGUAAAGUAAGUAAUUAGCUUAAAUUU